ACCCGGGCAGUGCAAGCCGGGCAGUCCUGCCCGACACGAUACCGCUGCUACGCUUACGGAUUCUGUAUUAUACGAAUACUCGUAUAUUGGACCUAUUAUAUACUCUUGAAAUACAUUUCAAGCAAUCGGGAUAGCAGUUGACUUUAAUCGUUCUCCUAUUAAAAAGAAGAUUCGCGUGAUAUAACUUUUUGUUAAAAAGAGAAGGUGAACGAAAAGUUGAAGAGAAUUGUGUUAUCUCGUUGUCAUUCGAGCAAAGGCAUACAUAUACGGUAUAUAAUAGUCCGUCUACUGGUACAUAGAGAGAAAGUAUAAAUAUAUCAGAGGAUUGAGAGAGCGCGCCUACGUGAAACGGUGAGACGCACGCACUCCCCCACCUAAAACUCUCGCACAGGAUCCUCUAUCGCUGCAAGUAACAGGGCAUGGUGCUUGGAUUCUACUGGGGCAGGACGCAAGGAAGAGGUCAGGGUCGUAUUCCAGAGGUAGCCUUUCUCAGUAGCGGUUAAAAAGCCGGACAAAUAAAAUCCAAAGAAGAAAACGAUAAAAGUAUAGUGACAAAUAGAGAAAGAAUAUUUCAACGGAUUUUUUUAUUUAAAAAAAAUAAAGAAAGAAAUAAAAGAAGUCGAAGAAAAGAUUAAGUAAUGUCCUCGUUGCUGAACGUCGAGCCUGGUGGCUCACAAUUAAGACCAACGAAAAUAUUCAUCGCGACCGCAACGACGACAAACAAAAUUGUUACAAAUAUUUCCUUGUGAAAAUACUUUAUUUUGCAAUUUUUUUCUUUCCUCGCGUGAUAU